UUGAAAUUUUACUGUGAUUUGUCAGAGGUCUCAAAUUAUUAUUGUUACCAUUAUUUUUGAAAAAUGAUAAUACAAUUGAAGAUGAGAAACAUAAGUUCUUGAAAUGUGCACAAUAUAUGCAGAAUCUUGAGUCAUGCUAAUUCUUUUCCUAAUAAUUUAAAUAGUAUCAGAGACAUAUAAUACUUUUGUUUGGUAGUUUCUCAUAAAAAACAAAUAAUGAUAAAUAUUGACAAAAUAUGUACCGUAUUCAAUCUGGUAUUCAAUAGUUAGUAGUAACCAAAGGCAAACGCCGUACUGAGGUAAUAGAAAUGUUGAUUGAACACACAAGUCAUUUGAAAUUGAGAUGUGUGCCUUAAUAUUUAGAUAUUUUAAAUAGACUAUCGUAAGGUGUAUUUGGAACUACAUGUAUACAUCAUAUGCAUGGAUUUAAAAAAAAUAAUAAUGUGCUGCUUAAUCAAACCAAUCGGUCUUUAUAACAUUGAUUCGUCUGGAUGCAUAAUUUUAUUUAAUAUGUUAUGUUUUAAAAAAAAAACCAUUAAAAUCAUGAAAAACUAUACAAAAAUAUGAUACGAAAUAGCUUACAUGUAUUAAGUGCAUGAGGUAUGAAAUGGUAGAUGCAUUUUUCCCAUUGGGUACAAAAUGGAUAUUAUCAUGGGUACGAAAUGGCAGAGGUAUGAAAUGGUCAGUGUACGAAAUGACUUGCUUCCAAGGAUUAAGGCUGAGAAUGACCAUUGAAUGGGACUUUUAUGGUAACUUUUACUGUGGCUGCAUGAAAUGUUUGUGUGAUAUAACUAACAGUAAAAUGGGGCAUAAUUGUGCAUGGUGGUAUUGAUGAUCACUCAAGACUCAUUCCAUUCCUAAGGGCUUCUAUUUUCAACACAUCAAAGGCUGCUGCAUGCUUUUUUGUUCAGGGUGUGAAGAACUAUGGAGUACCCAGCAGAAUACAUGCUGACCAUGGUACAGAAUAUGCAGACUCUGGACGGUUCAUGAUUUCAGUAAAUGGUGAGGGAAGAGGAAGCUUCAUGACUGGGCCUUCUGUUCACAAUCAAAGAAUUGAAAGAUUAUGGCGGGACAUAUUUAUCAAAGUCCUUGAUGUUUUCUACAAACUAUUUUGUCUUAUGGAAGAACAGAACAUUCUU